CCUACGGGCGGCAGCAGUGGGGGAUAUUGCACAAUGGGGGCAACCCUGCUGCAGCGACGCCGCGUGGGCGAAGAAGUAUUUCGGUAUGUCAAGCUCUAUCAGCAGGGACGAAGCAAUGACGGUACCUGAGUAAGAAGCACCGGCUAAAGACGUGCCAGCAGCCGCCGUAAUACGGAGGGUGCAAGCGUUAUCCGGAUUUACUGGGUGUAAAGGGAGCGCAGGCGGCACGGCAAGCCUGAUGUGAAAGCCCGGGGCCCCACCGCGGGACUGCAUUGGGAACGGCCGGGCUGGAGUGCCGGAGAGGUAGGCGGAAUUCCUAGUGUAGCGGUGAAAUGCGUAGAUAUUAGGAGGAACACCAGUGGCGAAGGCGGCCUACUGGACGGUGACUGACGCUGAGGCUCGAAAGCGUGGGGAGCAAACAGGAUUAGAUACCCUAGUAGUC
rnacentral:rRNA from 1 species